rnacentral:lncRNA from 1 species
UCCUCCCCCCUGACCUCCACCUUCCAGCCACUAGGACUACUCUCCCUCUCCCCCUCCCCCACCCUGACCUCCACCUUCCAGCCACUAGGACUACUCUCCCUCCUUCUUUCCCAGUCUUCCACACUCGUCAUGCUGAGCAAAGUGCAGAGCGACCACGAUUGGUUACUGUGGUCCGACCGUGCGGUUACAGCGCCCUCAGAAAGGUGACGGUGCUGUUAAACCGUAGGGGCGUGGUCUCGUACGAACAGCUUCUAUUGGACGUCUCCGAGGCGCUGGGCUUCCCUCGCUGGCACAGGGCCAGAGUCACACGCCUUUACACGCCACAUGCACGAGAGGUGCGGGGUGUGUGUGAUUUCUUCCGUGGCGAAGCGGCGUUCCUGGCGUUGGGAAAGUCUCUGAGCUCCGGAGCGUCGAGGAGGCCCUGGAGGAGCUGUUACUGCAACGACGCGCUCCGGGCCUGGGAGAGGAGGUUACGCCCUUCACCUGAUGAAGCUACCAAGGCCGACAGCGGAUACAGCGAAGGGACGGACACACACUCGCACCUCGACACGGACACACUGACAAACGGAGAUACACUUACACAAGGACGCAACCUGGACAGACACACACAUCACAAAGCAGACACACACAGGCUUAAACACCCAAACACACUGACACACUCCAAUACACACCCAAACACACGGACACACCCCAAUACACACCCAAACAGGCACUUCAUACACAACAACCCAACCAGACAGUCCAUACACCCUACUCACACACACCUGGACACGGAUGCACACACACAUACACACCCUAACACACAUUCUAAACGAAACUCCACACACCCCUCUCACCCCCCCAAUCAUCUUCAGAGGGUCAGAGUGAAAAGCGGAACUAGAGGGAGACUAUCCUCACCGAUAGGUCCACUUACCCAGGAAGAGGAGAUAGACACACCCUCUCCUCCACGCAGCAGGAACUGUAAGCUCUCUGAUCGACCCAGUCAGAGAGCAGGGAGGGCUCCACUUCCUCCCGUAACCAGGAAGCAAACAGGAAACAGACCAAAUGACCAGGAAGUAGAGAAACCUCACGUCGGUCCUGCCCGGUGCCACACUGGAUCAAUCUGUAGGAUUGAGGAGGAGUCCCUCAGCCAAUCAGAACAUUGCUCCUCAGAUUCUAAACAGGAAGAGGCUGGGACUAAACAGGAAACUAUCUUUGACCUCCCGUCUGACAAUAGUGAUGUCACUCUGUCGGAUAUUGAGUGUUACUAUGACAUCGGCCGCACGGUCGGAGACGGAAACUUUGCUGUUGUGCGCGAGUGUCGUCGGCGCAACAACGGGGAAGCCUUCGCUGUAAAGAUUGUGGAGCGCUCAAAGCUGAUUGGCCGAGAGCACAUGAUGCAGAACGAGCUGAGCAUUCUGGGUAGCUUGUCACAUCCCCGCGUGGUGCGCCUCUUCACACACCACCACACACACACACAUUCCUAUCUUGUCAUGGAGAUGGUUACCGGGGGCGACCUGUUCGAGGCGAUUGCAGAGCGUGGGAAGUUUCCGGAAGAGGAGGCGGGGCAGAUGGUGUGUGAUGUCAGUGAAGCUCUGAGAUACAUUCACAGCAAGACCAUAGUACACAGAGACCUGAAACCUGAAAACCUACUGGUGAGGCAGUGUGUGUGUGUGAAUAGGUAAAUCAAUAGGUGGAGUACAUUAGUGAUGGUAUCUCUCUCUCUCUUCCAGGUGGAGUACAUUAGUGAUGGUAUCUCUCUCUCUCUCUCUCUCUUCCAGGUGGAGUACAGUAGUGAUGGUAUCUCUCUCUCUCUCUUCCAGGUGGAGUACAGUAGUGAUGGUAUCUCUCUCUCUCUCUCUCUCU